GGCUGUAAAAUUUGGAUUUUUAAUGGGAUGGAGAAGCACAGAUUUCAGCUACCUCUUCAUUGCAGUGGGUAUUGCCAAGCUAAUAAUGCAGUUACAGGGUGCUGCUUUCAAUGAGGGGGGGAAGAAGCUCGCAGGGAGCUGUUCCUGUUUCCUCGCCCUUCAGUUCUCAGAUGGAAAGCACAAACUGUGUCCAUCGAUUGCUUUGCAGCUCCAGAUUUUUGCUGCUCUCAGUGGAAUUUAAUUCAGUCCAUGUGAAGGCUGAAUGAUGGUCAGUUUUGCAUUCUGCACCUAAAAUCUUGUUGGAAAGACUGCAGACUGGCUGGUGCUGGCUGUAGGAAGAACUGUUGCAUAAUGGGAGCACUGAUGUCCUCAGCAAAAUUUAAUAAAGCUCAUCAAAACUCCCUUUGCUGCCCAGCAAAAAAAACACUCCUUGAGAUACAGAAAAGCACACUUUUAAAUGGAAGAGAAACCAAAGUACCUUGUAUCAUGUAAGCAAAGGUGUAUUUUUUGCCACAUGGAACUGGUUUUUACCAUGAAAAGACUUCGUUGCCCUCAUUGUUCCAUUCUCUUGUAAUUUUUUUUCAGUAAU